rnacentral:rRNA from 1 species
UACGUAGGGGGCUAGCGUUGUCCGGAAUCAUUGGGCGUAAAGCGCGUGUAGGCGGUCCGGUAAGUCCGCUGUGAAAGUCGAGGGCUCAACCCUCGAAUGCCGGUGGAUACUGUCGGGCUUGAGUACGGGAGAGGCGAGUGGAAUUCCUGGUGUAGCGGUGAAAUGCGCAGAUAUCAGGAGGAACACCAGUGGCGAAGGCGGUGCUCUGGGCCGGAACUGACGCUGAGGAGCGAAAGCGUGGGGAGCAAACCGG